AAUUUUUCGAACUGGAGCUUGAUAGAAAGCAUUUCAUUUACACUGAGGUUUUAAUUGUGCAAUUCAAUUCUGUUUG
rnacentral:tRNA from 1 species